CCACCCGGUAAGCCUAAAUACUUAUGAUGACCGAUAGCGGAUAGUACCGUGAGGGAAUGGUGAAAAGUACCCCGGGAGGGGAGUGAAAUAGUACCUGAAACCGUGUGCUUACAAUCCGUCAGAGCCUUUUUGUUAGGUGAUGGCGUGCCUUUUGAAGAAUGAGCCUGCGAGUCAGCGGCAUGUCGCGAGGUUAACCCGUGUGGGGUAGUCGUAGCGAAAGCGAAUCCUAAUGAGGGUGUUUUUUUAGUGGCA
rnacentral:rRNA from 1 species